rnacentral:tRNA from 1 species
GGGGUUGUGGCUCAGAGGUAGAGUGCUCGCCUAGCAUGCGUGAGGCACUGGGUUCAAUCCUCAGCACUGCA